rnacentral:rRNA from 1 species
ACCUGACCCCAUGCCGAACUCAGAAGUGAAACGCCGUAGCGCCGAUGGUAGUGUGGGGCCUCCCCAUGCGAGAGUAGGGUACUGCCAGGC